rnacentral:rRNA from 1 species
AAAGGAAUUGACGGGAACUCGCACAAGCGGUGGAGCAUGCGGUUUAAUUCGAUGCAACGCGAAGAACCUUACCAGGUCUUGACAUCCCACUGACAGGCCUAGAAAUAGGUCCUUCCUUCGGGACGGUGGAGACAGGUGGUGCAUGGUUGUCGUCAGCUCGUGUCGUGAGAUGUUGGGUUAAGUCCCGCAACGAGCGCAACCCCUGUCACUAGUUGCUAACAUUAAGUUGAGGACUCUAGUGAGACUGCCGAUGACAAAUCGGAUGAAGGUGGGGACGACGUCAAAUCAUCAUGCCCCUUAUGACCUGGGCUACACGCGUGCUACAAUGGCCAGUACAAUGAGUUGCAAAGCCGUGAGGUGGAGCUAAUCUCAAAAAGCUGGUCUCAGUUCGGAUUGUAGUCUGCAACUCGACUACAUGAAGCAGGAAUCGCUAGUAAUCGUGAAUCAGAAUGUCACGGUGAAUACGUUCUCGAGUUUUGUACACACCGCCCGU